rnacentral:miRNA from 1 species
UCCACUGUCCAGCCAAAUCCC